AGUCGUGAGCACAAAUUCAACAGGGAGCUCAUCCCGCAGUUGCAAAUGUUGAAAAAUUGACAAAGCUAUUGUAGAAAAGAAACAUCAAGAGUUGGUGGCAAAAAUUGAGGAGAUGCAAUUGAACAACGAAAAACUGAAGAAAAAGUGGUGUACUCGGUUUUUCUUUUUUCUUUCAUGUUGUUGUUUAUAAUGAAGUUGUAGUUCCCUUAUAAAAAGUGGUGUACUCGUUGCUUUGUAAUAAAAUUAUUUAAUGUAAUGAAGUUGUAGUUCCCUUAUUUAACAUCUUAUUCUACCAUUAAUUGUGUGCGAG
rnacentral:lncRNA from 1 species